rnacentral:rRNA from 1 species
ACGAACGCUGGCGGCAGGCCUAACACAUGCAAGUCGAGCGGACCUUUCGGGGUCAGCGGCGGCCGGGUGAGUAACGCGUGGGAAUAUGCCCUUCUCUACGGAAUAGUCCUGGGAAACUGGGGGUAAUACCGUAUACGCCCUUUGGGGGAAAGAUUUAUCGGGGAAGGAUUAGCCCGCGUUGGAUUAGGUAGUUGGUGGGGUAAUGGCCUACCAAGCCGACGAUCCAUAGCUGGUUUGAGAGGAUGAUCAGCCACACUGGGACUGAGACACGGCCCAGACUCCUACGGGAGGCAGCAGUGGGGAAUCUUAGACAAUGGGGGCAACCCUGAUCUAGCCAUGCCGCGUGAGUGAUGAAGGCCUUAGGGUUGUAAAGCUCUUUCAGCUGGGAAGAUAAUGACGGUACCAGCAGAAGAAGCCCCGGCUAACUCCGUG